rnacentral:rRNA from 1 species
UACGAAGGGUGCAAGCGUUGUUCGGAUUUAUUGGGCGUAAAGCGCGCGCAGGCGGAUUGAAAAGUCAGAUGUGAAAUCUCGGGGCUCAACCCCGAAACUGCGUCUGAAACUCUCAAUCUAGAAUCUCGGAGGGGGCAGGGGAAUUUCACGUGUAGGGGUAAAAUCCGUAGAGAUGUGAAGGAACACCAGAGGCGAAGGCG